rnacentral:rRNA from 1 species
CCUGCACCCGUAAUGAACAGAACUGUAGUGACACGGAAGGUAAGACAGAGCCGGGAAUGAGAAAACCGGUGCAAGCACAAUAGAUGUGCGGGAGGAAAAACCCCCGCAUAAGUCGAAGGUGUGAUGCGGACCGAAAAAGAGUAGGGAAGCUGUUAGCAAGCCGUCAAGAAAAGCUGCUAUUGUUUCAUUAUGGCCCGUACCGUAAACCGACACAGGUGGAUGGGGAGAGAAUCCUAAGGCCGGCGGAAGAAGUAUUGUUAAGGAACUCGGCAAAAUGACCCCGUAACUUCGGGAGAAGGGGUGCCUGCGAGAGCGGGCCGCAGAGAAGAGGCCCAAGCAACUGUUUAGCAAAAACACAGGUCUAUGCAAAACCGAAAGGUGAGGUAUAUGGGCUGACGCCUGCCCGGUGCUGGAAGGUUAAGGGGAGUGGUCAGGAAACGAAGCCACGAACUUAAGCCCCAGUAAACGGCGGCCGUAACAAUAACGGUCCUAAGGUAGCGAAAUUCCUUGUCGGGUAAGUUCCGACCCGCACGAAAGGCGUAAUGAUUUGGGCGCUGUCUCGACAAUACAUCCGGUGAAAUUGAAGUGCCAGUGAAGAUGCUGGCUACCUGCGCCAGGACGGAAAGACCCCAUGGAGCUUUACUCCAGCUUGAUACUGGGACCCGGUAUUGCAUGUACAGGAUAGGUGGGAGGCUAGGAAAUGUGGACGCCAGUCUGCAUGGAGCCGUUGUUGGGAUACCACCCUUGUGGUGCUGGGUUUCUAACCAGAGGCCGUGAACCGGUCUGGGGACAAUGUCAGGUGGGGAGUUUGACUGGGGCGGUCGCCUCCGAAAGGGUAUCGGAGGCGCCCAAAGGUUCCCUCAGAAUGGUUGGAAACCAUUCGAAGAGUGCAAAGGCAGAAGGGAGCUUGACUGCGACACCGACGGGUGGAGCAGGUACGAAAGUAGGGCUUAGUGAUCCGGUGGAAUUUAAGUGGGAAUGCCAUCGCUCUACGGAUAAAAGCUACCCCGGGAUAACAGGCUGAUCACUCCCAAGAGUUCACAUCGACGGAGUGGUUUGGCACCUCGAUGUCGGCUCAUCGCAUCCUGGGGCUGAAGUCGGUCCCAAGGGUUGGGCUGUUCGCCCAUUAAAGCGGUACGCGAGCUGGGUUCAGAACGUCGUGAGACAGUUCGGUCCCUAUCCGGCGUGGGCGUAGGAUAUCUGAGAGGAGCUGUCCUUAGUACGAGAGGACCGGGAUGGACUGACCUCUGGUGUACCGGUUGGCGAUCAACGCCACGGCCGGGUAGCCAUGUCGGGACGGGAUAGACGCUGAAGGCAUCUAAGCGUGAAGCCCCCCUCAAGAUGAGAUAUCCCAUCGUAAGAGUAAGACCCCUUGAAGACGACAAGGUUGAUAGGGCAGGGGUGGAAGUGCCGUAAGGCAUGGAGCUGACUGCUACUAAUCGGUCGAGGGCUUGACU